rnacentral:tRNA from 1 species
UGGCUUAGAGGUUAAAGCAUCCACCUGGAAUGUGGGAGACCCGGGGUUCGAUCCCUG